rnacentral:rRNA from 1 species
GAUUAUUCGCCUAAGGAUGGGCCUGCGAUGGAUUAGCUUGUUGGUGGGGUAACGGCUCACCAAGGCAACGAUCUAUAGCCGAGUUGAGAGGCUGAUCGGCCACAUUGGAACUGAGACACGGUCCAGACUCCUACGGGAGGCAGCAGCUAAGAAUCUUCCGCAAUGGGCGCAAGCCUGACGGAGCGACGCCGCGUGAACGAUGAAGGCCUUUCGGGUUGUAAAGUUCUUUUAUAAGAGACGAAUGUCUGAUGUAGGUCAGGCUGACUGUAUCUUUUGAAUAAGGUCCGGCUAACUACGUGCCAGCAGCCGCGGUAAUACGUAGGGACCAAGCGUUGUUCGGAAUUAUUGGGCGUAAAGGGUACGUAGGCGGCAUGAUAAGUCAGAUGUGAAAUCCUUGGGCUCAACCUGAGGUCUGCGUCUGAUACUGUUGUGCUUGAGUUACUGAGAGGAAGACGGAAUUCCUGGUGUAGGGGUGAAAUCUAUAGAUAUCAGGAAGAACACCUAUUGCGAAGGCAGUCUUCUGGCAGCUAACUGACGCUGAUGUACGAAAGUUAGGGGUAGCAAACAGGAUUAGAGACCCUGGUAGUCCUAACCGUAAACGUUGUAUACUAGGUGGUUGAAGUAUUGAUCCUUUGACUGCCGGAGCUAACGCAUUAAGUAUACCGCCUGGGGAGUAUGCCGGCAACGGUGAAACUCAAAGGAAUUGACGGGGGCCCGCACAAGCAGUGGAGCAUGUUGUUUAAUUCGAAGAUACGCGAGAAACCUUACCAGGUCUUGACAUAUACCUGAAUGGUAUGGAAACAUAUCAGUCCUUCGGGACGGGUUAUACAGGUGCUGCAUGGUUGUCGUCAGCUCGUGCCGUGAGGUGUUGGGUUAAGUCCCGCAACGAGCGCAACCCCUAUUCUUUGUUGCUAACAGUUUAAGCUGAGCACUCUAAGAAGACUGCCGGUGACAAACCGGAGGAAGGUGGGGAUGACGUCAAAUCAUCACGGCCCUUAUGACCUGGGCUACAAACGUGCUACAAUGGCAGGCACAGAGAGUUGCGAAACAGUGAUGUAGAGCUAAUCUCAAAAAACCGUCCUCAGUUCGGAUUGGAGUCU